GACGAACGCUGGCGGCGUGCUUAACACAUGCAAGUCGAACGGGCCUUGUCCCCUUUUUUUGGGGGUGGGGUUAGUGGCGAACGGGUGAGUAACACGUGGGUAACCUGCCCUCACUUCUGGAUAACCGCUUGAAAGGGUGGCUAAUACGGGGUGUUCUGGCCUGCUCGCAUGGGUGGGUUUGGAAAGAUUCGACCGGUUUUGGUUGUUUUGGUGGGGGAUGGGCUCGCGGCCUAUCAGCUUGUUGGUGGGGUGAUGGCCUGCCAAGGCUUUGACGGGUAGCCGGCCUGAGAGGGUGGGCGGUCACACUGGGACUGAGACACGGCCCAGACUCCUACGGGAGGCAGCAGUGGGGAAUAUUGCACAAUGGGCGCAAGCCUGAUGCAGCGACGCCGCGUGAGGGAUGGAGGCCUUCGGGUUGUGAACCUCUUUCGCCAGUGAAGAAGGUCCUGCUCUUUGUGGUGGGGUUGACGGUAGCUGGGUUAAUGAAGCGCCGGCUAACUACGUG
rnacentral:rRNA from 1 species